GACGAACGCUGGCGGCGUGCUUAACACAUGCAAGUCGAACGAGAUCCUCCGGGGUCUAGUGGCGAACGGGUGAGUAACACGUGAGCAACCUGCCCUUGGCUCUGGGAUAGCCUCCGGAAACGGGGAUUAAUACCGGACAUGACCGCGGAUCGCAUGAUCCGGGGUGGAAAGUUUUUCGGCCAGGGAGGGGCUCGCGGCCUAUCAGCUUGUUGGGGGGGUAACGGCCCACCAAGGCGACGACGGGUAGCCGGCCUGAGAGGGCGACCGGCCACACUGGGACUGAGACACGGCCCAGACUCCUACGGGAGGCAGCAGUGGGGAAUAUUGCACAAUGGGCGCAAGCCUGAUGCAGCGACGCCGCGUGCGGGAUGAAGGCCUUCGGGUUGUAAACCGCUUUCAGCAGGGGCGAACACAGGACGGUACCUGCAGAAGAAGCGCCGGCUAACUACGUGCCAGCAGCCGCAGUAAAAC
rnacentral:rRNA from 1 species